rnacentral:rRNA from 1 species
GACGAACGCUGGCGGCGUGCUUAACACAUGCAAGUCGAACGGUGAUGCUCCAGCUUGCUGGAGUGGAUCAGUGGCGAACGGGUGAGUAAUACGUGAGUAACCUGCCCUUGACUCUGGGAUAAGCCUGGGAAACUGGGUCUAAUACUGGAUACGACAUGCCACUGCAUGGUGGUGUGUGGAAAGGGUUUUACUGGUUUUGGAUGGGCUCACGGCCUAUCAGCUUGUUGGUGGGGUAAUGGCCUACCAAGGCGACGACGGGUAGCCGGCCUGAGAGGGUGACCGGCCACACUGGGACUGAGACACGGCCCAGACUCCUACGGGAGGCAGCAGUGGGGAAUAUUGCACAAUGGGCGGAAGCCUGAUGCAGCGACGCCGCGUGGGGGAUGACGGCCUUCGGGUUGUAAACCUCUUUCAGCACGGAAGAAGCGAGAGUGACGGUACGUGCAGAAGAAGCGCCGGCUAACUACGUG